rnacentral:rRNA from 1 species
AGAGCGAACGCUGGCGGCAGGCCUAACACAUGCAAGUCGAACGGACCCUUCGGGGUUAGUGGCGGACGGGUGAGUAACACGUGGGAACGUGCCUUUAGGUUCGGAAUAGCUCCUGGAAACGGGUGGUAAUGCCGAAUGUGCCCUUCGGGGGAAAGAUUUAUCGCCUUUAGAGCGGCCCGCGUCUGAUUAGCUUGUUGGUGAGGUAAUGGCUCACCAAGGCUACGAUCAGUAGCUGGUCUGAGAGGAUGACCAGCCACAUUGGGACUGAGACACGGCCCAAACUCCUACGGGAGGCAGCAGUAGGGGAAUCUUGCGCAAUGGGCGAAAGCCUGACGCAGCCAAUGCCGCGUGUAUGAAUGAAGGUCUUAGGAUUAGUAAAAGUACUUUCACCGGUGAAGAAUAAAUGAACUGUAGACCGGAGAAGAAGACCCCGGUCUAACUUCGUGCCAGCAGCCG